rnacentral:lncRNA from 1 species
UCUUUGUUCUAGGGAUUCACAUAUAAACAAGCAUCAGAUUUUGGAAUUCAUCAUGCACAGCUCCCCCUUGGAAGUUUUGUGAAGAUGAAUAGUCGAAAAGUUUUGGCAGUUAAUCAUGUAUUUGAGAUUAUUCUGGGAUACCUGGAAACAAGAAACUGGCAAGAAGCAUUUUUCACUAUCUUACCCCAAAGGAAAGGAGCUGUUCCYACAGACAAAGCCUGUGAAAGUUCUUCCCAGGACAAGCAGUGUGCCAUGGUUGAAGAUGGAUCGGACAGUGAUUCCAGUGAAGAAGAAUAUAGCAAAAAUGAAACAGGGUCACCACAUAAAGAUGAACAACAGGAUAAGGAAAAUAGCACUGAAUCUACAAUGCAAUCUGCACCACACUAACAUUACCUGUUUUUCUUUUAGUAAGGAAAAAUUAGGAGAAAGUGAGGUGCUUCAAAAAAUAUUCAAAUUGGAAAAAAAUUUAUUUUCUCAUUUAUUUUGUGAAUUUUAAAAACUCUUUAGAGCUAAAUGGUGAUGAAAAACCCUUUAAACUCUGUAAGAAUUUUUGUUUWUGUAUAAGACAACUUUGUGUUGCUUCUUAAAUUACUUUUUAAGCCUCAAAUAAGAGUUUUAGAGAAUUUUACUUUAUUAGUAUACCCUAUUUCUCUUUUCUUUGUUGGAAUAUAUUCUUCAGAAUGUGCCUUCUGACCUAUCAGUUCAUAUCAGUGACCUUUAUGUUUGUUUAUAUCAGUGUCUUUCUAAUCUGUUGUGUAUGUAUUUUUGGGGCAGAUAUUCAUAAAUCCCCUGUAACUCUAUUAAAAUGUUAUAUAUGAGAGCUUAUCUUCCAUUUGCAGCUUUUACAUCCAAUUUAUUUAGUUAAAAAAUAUCAAUUUGCUACUUAAUAAUUCAUUUCUUUUGGACUGUGGAGUGCACACCUGUGCUUCCUUUGUGGCCUUUUCAUGGUUCUGAAGUAAUAACAAAAUAGUAGAAAAUAUCUUUAAUUCAUUUUCUUAAUUCCUAUAAUGGUAACAAAUUAUUUCAGUUAUAAAAUCAAAUUUUUGCAGGCAAGAUUAUUUUAUAAGGCUGUUACUUUUGAAGGAUCAAUUUUGUCUUUACCUGAUUUAAAACAUAACAGUCCUUAUGAGCUAUCCUUUCCUUACAAAUAUUUUUUWWAAAAAAUAUUUGUUGACUUUUAAGGUGAAUAUUGUGCAUCUGUCUAUCAUAUAAUAUUCAAACUAACAUAAAUGUGUGUCUCUGUAAAUAACGUGCACGUAUAAAAAUACGCGUGUAAUGGUCUGUCUGUCCGUAUCAUGUAUGGUUCUGUUAUUAACUGAUGAAAACAGACUGAUUUGUAUUAUUUGUGUGGUUGCGUCGAAAACACUAAGAGCAAUUAGAAUUUCAUUAACACAAAAAUCCGUAACCAAACAUUCAUUUGGAAAAGUUGGCAAGGGAGCAUGGAGCAAAAAUGAUCUGUUUUAGCCUCUAAAUGGUGAUUGUAGAGAAGUUGUAUUUAAAAUAAAGUGAUUGUUCUCUGUCA